rnacentral:rRNA from 1 species
ACGGCUCAGUAACACGUGGAUAACCUACCCUAAGGUGGGAGAUAACCCCGGGAAACUGGGGAUAAUACCCCAUAGUCUAUGGAAGCUGGAAUGCUCUAUAGUUGAAAGAUUUAUCGCCUUAGGAUGGGUCUGCGGCCGAUUAGGUAGUUGUUGGGGUAACGGCCCAACAGGCCUUUGAUCGGUACGGGUUGUGGGAGCAAGAGCCCGGAGAUGGAUUCUGAGACACGAAUCCAGGCCCUACGGGGCGCAGCAGGCGCGAAAACUUUACAAUGCGGGAAACCGUGAUAAGGGAACUCCGAGUGCCCGUAAACGCGGGCUGUCCAUCUGCUUAAAAAACAGGUGAAGAAAGGGCCGGGCAAGACCGGUGCCAGCCGCCGCGGUAAUACCGGCGGCUCGAGUGGUGGCCACUAUUACUGGGCUUAAAGCGUCCGUAGCUUGGUUGUUAAGUCUCUUGGGAAAUCUGUCGGCUUAACCGACAGGCGUUUAAGGGAUACUGGCAAUCUAGGGACCGGGAGAGGUGAGAGGUACUCCAGGGGUAGGAGUGAAAUCCUGUAAUCCUUGGGGGACCACCUGUGGCGUAGGCGUCUCACCAGAACGGCUCCGACAGUGAGGGACGAAAGCUGGGGGAGCAAACCGGAUUAGAUACCCGGGUAGUCCCAGCCGUAAACGAUGCGCGUUAGGUGUAUCGGUGACCACGAGUCACCGAGGUGCCGAAGGGAAACCGUGAAACGUGCCGCCUGGGAAGUACGGUCGCAAGGCUGAAACUUAAAGGAAUUGGCGGGGGAGCAC